GGGAGGGUGGUGAAUUUCUGGUUAGGCAGUUUGUACCCUGCUCUCUAACUGGAAGUGUGUGUGUGUGUGUGUGUGUGUGUGUGUGUGUGUGUGUGUGUGUUGGGGGUUGCUGAGGGGCCUGGACUGGGCUGUGACUCUCUGCUUCCCCCCAGUGUUCAUUUCCAGUUACAUGGUGUUGGCACCAGUGUUUGGCUACCUGGGUGACAGGUACAAUCGAAAGUACCUCAUGUGCGGGGGCAUUGCCUUCUGGUCCCUGGUGACACUGGGGUCAUCCUUCAUCCCCAGAGAGAUGAGGAAAGUGAGGCUCAGAGAGGUUAAGCUAUUUUCUCAAAGUCACAGCUAGUAAAUGGAGCCAGGAUUCCAGCCAGGUCUGUGUGACUCUAAACCCAGGCCUCCCUCACUGCCUCUGCUGUUUCUCUAGCGCUAGCUGGAGAGGUCUCCUGGGAGGCUGGCUCCAGGGUGGGGUGCCACCUCCCCCAUGUCUCCUUUCCCAGCAUUUCUGGCUGCUCCUCCUGACCCGGGGCCUGGUGGGGGUCGGGGAGGCCAGUUACUCCACCAUUGCGCCCACCCUGAUCGCCGACCUCUUCGUGGCAGACCAGCGGAGUCGGAUGCUCAGCAUCUUCUAUUU
rnacentral:lncRNA from 1 species